CGACCUGCACGAAUGGCGUAACGACUUCCCCACUGUCUCCAGGAUAUGCUCAGCGAAAUUGAAUUCUCCGUGAAGAUGCGGAGUACCCGCGGUUAGACGGAAAGACCCCGUGCACCUUUACUGCAGCUUCAGAGUGGCAUUAGGAAAGAAUUGUGUAGAAUAGGUGGGAGGCUUUGAAACUUGGGCGCCAGUCCGAGUGGAGCCAUAAUGUGAAAUACCACCCUAUUGUUUUCUGGUGUCUAACUUAGAUCCGUUAUCCGGAUCAGGGACCCUCUGUGGCGGGUAGUUUGACUGGGGCGGUCGCCUCCUAAAGAGUAACGGAGGCGUACAAAGGUAAACUUAAGUUGAACUUUAACAACUUUAAAGCAUAAUAGUAUAUGUUUGCCUGACUGUAAGAUUGACAAAUCAAGCAGGGACGAAAGUCGGUUAUAGUGAUCCGAUGAUUCUGAGUGGAAAUGGUCAUCGCUCAACGAAUAAAAGGUACGUCGGGGAUAACAGGCUAAUCACCCUCUAGAGACCAUAUCGACGGGGUGGUUUGGCACCUCGAUGUUGGAUUAUCGCAUCCUGGAGCUGAAGACGGUUCCAAGGGUUUGGCUGUUCGCCAAUGAAGGCGGUACAUGAUCUGAGUUCAGAACGUUGUGAAACAGUUUGGUCCCUAUCUACUGUAAGUGCAAAAAAUUGAGAGGGGUAAACCUUAGUACGAGAGGACCGGGAAAAGUAAAUCCAUGGUGAAUCGAUUGUUAUACCAAUAGCAUAGUCGAGUAGCUACAUUUAUAAUAAAUAAUCACUGAAAGCAUCUAAGUGAGAAAUUAGCCUCAAUACAAAUUUUUUUUUAAAAUGUGAUAGACUAUCACAUCGAUAGGCCUAGUGUGUAAGAAUUGUAAGGUUUUUAGCUAAUAGGUACUAAAU
rnacentral:rRNA from 17 species